UACGUAGGGGGCAAGCGUUGUCCGGAAUCAUUGGGCGUAAAGCGCGUGUAGGCGGCUAGGUAAGUCUGCUCUGAAAGCCCGGGGCUCAACCCCGGGAGGCGGGUGGAUACUGUCUAGCUCGAGUCCGGAAGAGGAGUGUGGAAUUCCUGGUGUAGCGGUGAAAUGCGCAGAUAUCGGGAGGAACACCGGUGGCGAAGGCGGCUACCUGGACAGAAACUGACGCUGAGGCGCGAAAGCUAGGGGAGCAAACAGG
rnacentral:rRNA from 1 species